AUAAAAGGUUGCAGUAGUGGCUUUUUGAUAUUUCAAGACAAAUAAACAUGAUACCACAUAACAAACAGUUGUGCAAACUCGGGCCUGGAGGAGCACAUAACUACCUCCUUUUUCCAGAACUACUUUUCCCUGCUUUACUGCUACUACCACCAGACUUGCUGGACGACUUUGAAGAAAACAGUCUUGUCAUGAAUUCAGAGACAUCUGGCAGCUCAUGGUUCGAAUUCAGCAUGUUCAUUGACUGCUCCAUUUCCCGUCUCAUAUCAGGAUCACUGGUGUUGACAACUUUAGGCAAAAGCACAAAUAUCAGUAACGGAAGCACCAUCAUCACAACCAUGGGGUUCAUCAGGAAAUCUGUCCAUCCCCAAGAUUCUCUCUUUAUGAAGUAUGAAGGAGGUCCAGAAGAUUUCAUCUGGAGCGGGUAUGGCAGCCUGACAACUUCUGAGGUUUUGAUGUAAUUCACAUAUCUUGCCCUCAUUUUGCCUUUUGAAGUUAUGUCAACUCGAACAGGCUCAAAUUUGUGAGCAGGAGAUAUAACUUCUACUACAUACGAUCCUGAGGGUACAUCGUGAACCACAAAGCUUCCAUCUGUCUUCAGGAAACCGACGUGUUCCUCCCCGUCCACGAGCACCCGGGCCCCUGCGAUCCAGUCCUGGGGCUUCACCCCGGGCACCACGGCCCGGCCCUCGAUCUUAAACCGCUCCCCAGGGCCCGCGCCGCCCGGCGGCUCCACCGUCCCGGCCGCCUCCGAGCCCGCGGCGCCGGGGGCCAACGGUGACAUGAAAAGGCAGAGCAGCACCAGCGACACAACGCCGCCCCGCGCCGACACCAUCGUGACCAUCACCGCCGCUCAGGUGCCGGGGCGCAUGCGCAGAGCGCAACACACCUCAACUCCCCGGAACAGCCGGCACCCGAAGCACGGCGACAAGCUCUCUACGCCUGCGCAUCGGGCCGCGAGAAUAUGCGUUGGGUGCUACGCGCUUGCGCAUAGGAGAGUGAGGCGCCGACAUUUUGCGUCACGGGGGUGAGCCAAUAGGAAUAUGAGCUGCGCGUCCAUGAUACAGCGCGAAGCGGAAGUGCGCUGCUCUCUGCCGCUCUGAGGCGCUGCGCGUACGCGGGGCCGCCUUACCACUUUGCGGUAGUGGGGGCGGCGCAGCGCCUCGGGCUGGGUCUCUGGGGAGGGGACUGUGACCCGGUGGCACACAGCGCCCCAGAGCAGAGGUUGGGGAAAUAGCAGAGCAAGUACGUGGGUUUUUUUGUUUUUUUUUUUAAUUUCCCCUCCAGGAUGAGGCCAUCUGCUAGCGAUAACGCAGGGGGACACGGAUGUGAAAUGAAAGAACAUGAAAAUUUGUCAAUAACGUUGGCCUGAAGUGGCUUCUUUGAACCGAAUGAGAUCAACGCAGACUGUUUUUGAUGCUCCCCUACAGCCUGCGGGCAGAGCGGCAGCACGAAAUGCUGUUGCUCACUAUGGGCAGGCUGAGCGCCAGACCAGGAGGGCUGUAAUGCCUGCCCUGCCCAUUUCCUCCCCACGCAAUAUGUCCUGUCGUGUCACGUGUACCCGCUGUCACAUACACCUGACUCCUCACCUGUUGCUUAACGCCAGAGUUAAUUACUGAACUCAUCAGAAAUAUUAUUUAACUAUUAAAGCACGUUUGGAGAUGAUGACCGUAGCCCUAGCCCUGAGCAGAUACUGAAUGAGAACAUUUCACUAUGCCAGACAUGAUUCUGAAAUCGUGUGUCACUCCAUGAGAGCGGGAUAACGUGAAUGACGUCUCCAUUACUAUUUUUGAGCUGCGCUGUUCUAUUUUGGAUGGCCAGGAUGAAUGAGGUUCUUCUGUCGCAUAAAGUCACAAAAGUUGGAACACCAGCAGUUUUGGAGGUGGAAACCUGAGCGUUCUAUAAAUGAUCAGUGCUAGAAAACAGCUUCUCUGAGUUGUAGGAGUUUGCAGUCACUUUUUUCCCACUUUGUUGAUGAAGCAGAUACUUAAAAUAAGAUGACCAAACAGCAGCAUGUUGUAGGAAGCCAGACUGGUAUUUCCAGGAUGACACCAGCAGAAGAUAGCAUUGCAUACUGACAUAUCACAUUACUAUAUUUAUACAGUUACUGAAGAAAUGCUACUUAAGUAUCCUUAAGAAGCAUAGGGAUGCUCUCACAUCACAUAGGGUGUUCCUGCCCCCCACUUUUAAGGAGUUCAUCAACCAUAGAUUUGUAAGUACCAAAUAUAAAGAUCCAGAACAUUUCUUUUUAUAGAUAGUACAGUUAGUUAAGUUUUAAGCCUGGUGAAUCCAAAUAAAAGAAAACCACAUUGGUUCUUUCACGCUCUCUCUCUAAUCCAAGCAAUUUCUCUACAUGCCAUCCAGCUAACAAACUGACACAUUUGUUAGCCUCGUCCCUCACAUAGAAAGUCUCCCUGAGCUCAGGUUUCAGAUACAUAACUUUGUUUUUAUAUGCGCAAAGUUUCUAAUAGCUGUAUGGGCAUGAAACUUCCAUACAUGUAGUUAAACAAACAGUCUCCCUGCUCUCACUGUGGAACUUCUUUGCAUAUUAGAAGCUGUACUUCAUACAGAUACAGCGGUUACCAUAUUUUGAAGUGUACACAACUGAGAAAAUAAUUCAUUUGGCGGAUUACUGCCUUUUUCAUUAAGAUUAGCUACAUUAGCAUCUUAUUUGAGGGGAUUACACAAUGAUAUUAUAAGCUUUGAUAUCAUGGUGUUGUAGGUGUUUACCUUCUAGGUAAAAAGAACCAAACCCCCAAAAUGUAGCGCAAAUAAAAUAAAUGAAAAUGUUUAGGUAUACACUUAUCAAAGCCAACUACUACUUUUUUUUUUUUAGUGUUUUAUCUGAAAGGCCUUCUAUUUCUUACUGGAAGAAUUUUCACUAUUAGCCAGCUUCUGUCUGUAGCUUGAUGCAAAGGGAAUGCCUGAUCAGAAGACAGAUAAAACUGCCAAGCAACAGUUUCAGUUUACUUUGAAGCAACGGAACCAUUUCAUCAGCCUCCUCACAAGCACAGUCAAGAGCGACUUCCAUGUUUGAGAGCUGUCUCCUCAUUGAUGGAUUCACUUGACUAACAGCUACAUAGAAACUGGCAAAUUCCUGGGAGGUUCUGCCCUGCUCACAAGCACAUUCUCACUUCUGUCUGAUUGGUUCAUUCAACAGCUGUCACUGUUUGUGCAAACCUGUCAGGCAGAUGGAUGAAUCCCUAAUGGGCUGAGCGGAGAGGAGGUCUAGACUAAUGUAAUGCCAUUACACUGAUAAUACUGAAAUCUGUAUCUCCAGGUUCUUGUCACUUCUGGUUUCAUGUACAAAUUGAAAAGCAGAGAAGAUGCAUGAAAUCCCUCUGAACUCCCCGAAUGAAUCACAAUGCAGAGCAUCACAGCUGUUUAGAAAUAAUCGAGUAUUCUGAGAUACUAGUGAAUAGAAGCAGCAAGAGAGUUUCUUCACCCAAGAGGAAAAUGAUUUUAUACUUAAAACUUAUUUUUGUGCUGAAUAUUUCACAGUGUGAACACAAGGAAAACUUACUAUAUACAAGCAUUUUCAUAAGCUUCAAUGCAACUUUGAACAUUUGCUUUUGGAAAUGAAGAUGAUGCUGUAAUUGACACUGGUUUACUUUAAUACACUGGACAUCCACUGGACGACAGCCAGCAGCAGCCCAGAACCUGUUUCCUGUGUGAUUCAGCCACACGCUGAGCUGUCGGCUGUCAGCAAACAAGGGAGCAGCUGUGGCCAUCUUACCAUAGUCUUAUCAUGAUCUCUGAGUCAGUCCCCCAGCUGCUGUGCUGGGGGAGGUCAUGCUGGAUUGAGGUCUUGCCCACUAUACCCAAACAGUGCAAUUUCACAAAUGCUCUAUGGAAUCAAGGACACUGAUGUGACCGAUCUGAAAAACAAAUAAGAAAUUCAUGUGCAUCAGAACACCCCACACCUACAUCAGUUAUACUGUCUUUUGAGGAUAAAAAAUUCUAUUAUUUUUAACAAAGAAGAAAAACAAAAAAAACCAUAACAAACCAAACAUCAGAGAAUUGUGUCUGUGGAAGCAAUCAGCAUCAGGCCCAGCAGAAGGCCACAGCCAGCUAAUGCAUUCACUGAGCUUUCUCCUUCACGAUCAGCUUUAUUGUAAAUAAUCGCAGAAUUAACAAAAAUUGUGCCACAUGUUUCUGUGAGAAUUAUUCUUUUAAAAAAAUUACCUACGUAUAUCGUAAAGUGGGCUCAUUCUGCCAUCUACUGGCAAUUUACAGCGCUACACCAGAAACAUUUACCAGGGGCAGAUUCGAGCAAUAACGUUCACGGCGUUCAAAGGCGCGCUCCCCUGCCCAGGUCCUACUUCCGGCUUCCACCAGAAUUAUUUCCACUCUUCUGCUAAUAGGCAUCUGAAAGCACAAACAGGGCAAUACUUUCAUACGCUUUUCAUAAUGCUGACAUCGAGGUCAAUCACCAGAUGACAGCCCGCUUUAUCUGGUGGAAGAAGAAAUUUAAUUAGUUUAAGUAUGAGGAAAAGGCAGGAAACUUGUCCUGCUGUGAGAAGUCCCACACCCUCUCCUGCAAGCAGAACAAAUAUGGGCGUAACAUGAUGGGAACAUGGAAAUUGUUUUCAUAGAGCUUUGAAGUGCUCAUCUCCUAUUUACUAUGAAACGUAUCCCUGUAUCUCUUUCAAGCAGAAUUUGUGCACAGACUGUGCAAGCAGGGUGUCUAAGAACUACAGCAUCCACUAUGCUGGCUAUAGAAGCAGCAGCUCUGCACAGAGCAAUGCUAUGUGUGGGCUCAGAUGCCUGAGCUCUGGUUUGUAUGGAUACCACCUGUAACCAUUCACCUGCUGCUCUAAUGGCAUGUUCCUGGAAUAUUUGGUUUCCAAAAUUAACAGUGUAAAAUCCUUGCUUCUUGGAAUGCGCUUUAAGUGCCGUGCUUCCCACCCUCACCCCCAACUGGGAUUCUACUCACAUAAUGCCACUCCAUUAUGCAGCGUUAUCAUAGCCCUUGCAGAACCAUUGCUGAUUUCCUCCCCAACCCCCCUUUCUUUACUUCGCUAUUGGUAAUUUAGCACAACAAAACAGAAUUCCUUCCUUCAUACUUCAAGCUGAAGAUAUUCAAGUGAUCUAUAGAGUGGGUUCACAUGACAUGGAAGGUGCAACCCGGAGAGGUCACAGGAACUUUGAUGGGAUGUUCUACCAGAAGAGGAUCCUAUUCAACAACCAAAUAAAACAUCCAGUCUCAUCUGCGAGUUAUCUGCCCUGGGAGAUCUUGUGUCCAACAUGCAGAAGGCUGCUGUAAUACACACAGCCUUAAGCAGUUGCCUAAUUACGCUACACUUGCUUCUAUGCUAGGAAGAAUGGAGGAAGGAAAGGCCAGAAACGACACUGAGUUAGCAGUGCAUUUCUGGCCUGUCAUGAAAUUGUAUGUUUUUUUUUCCCAAGGAGGUGGUUGUCCAAAGGCUACUAAAGGUUCAUUUGCACCAUUUCUAAGCCCACUCUUUUUUUUUUUUUUAAUACAUUUUUGUAGUGGGAGUUAAAGAAGAGUCCAGCUGGAGCCAGAUCAGCACUUUCCAGAUGACAAACAUUCUCUUUGGUGUAUUAAAUACAUUACAUACACUGCUGCAGUAUCUACUGCUAGCAAAUUUGGAUUCAAACUAACUAUGAAAGAAACAAAACCUGCACGCUCGCUUUAUUUGACAAAGCCUUAGGAGCAAAGCUUAGCCUUCAACUCAUUCUCAAAACACAAGAACAAACCCAAACCAACAUUACAGUGGAUCUGAAUUCACUUAGCUAGUUCUUCAUCUCAGAAAUGAAGAAUCGAUUCUGCAGUCCCCUGCUUUUUUCGAAGCAUUAGUUACUCUUACUGCUUGUCAGCUUCAUUACAAGCCAUACAAGCACUUUUUCAUGAACACAUUCUGGCUGUUCCUAAGAAGCUGAGAAUGGCAGUUCCUGGCCUUAAGUAGCCCUGCAAGCACCUUCUUUGUGCAAGGCAGAUAGUUGAUGCAGACAUAUACAACCUUAGGGUGCACAGCUGUAACCUGACGGAGCUUACCAGCUGCUGCCUCUCUGGAAUUCAGCUCUUAAAUAAGAGCUAGAUUGCUUGACUUUAUUGUUGUAUUUCACUGUAUUGGCCUGUGAUCCCUGUAACUAUUUUAAAGCUCUUAAUGAAAUAAGCAACUUUUAGCCUUCUACACUUACAUUUUAGCUCCGUUUAGCUGAAGGAAGUAACUUGGAGGCACUUUAUACUCCUGUUGCACUGUGAGAAAGCUAAAUAAGAAUCCUGUUUAUGUUUCAGGUGCAUUCCUAUUUGUGUUGGCUGGAACGCUGAGUCAUGAGAGCCAAUGAAGCCUCGCCGUGACAAGUACUGGUUACUACCAGUCAAAGAACUGCUCAAAUGAACACUGUAGUGAAUUAGAGGCAUUAUCUACCAUUAACCAACGGCAAACAAGCUAAUUUUCUAUGUGCUGUUACAUUGCUAUUCAAUGUGUUAAACGAUGGCUUCAUUAAAGCAGGU
rnacentral:lncRNA from 1 species